UCUCCCCAGCACCUUCAAAAGUGACCCUGCAGAGGGGGCUGCGUGUACCCCGCCCUGCUUCCUGCCUUUCAGGACCAAACCCAGGCCCUAGUCUUCCCGCCCAUCUCUGCCUCUCCCCGCCCCGCCAGGGCCCCCCAGCUCCUCACACCCACCUGGGGCCCAGGGCCCGUGGACCUGGGGUUUCCCGGGGCUGCCAAGCUUCCAGGGAGCCAGGGACUCUGCCGGCCACUUCCAGCAACAAUAGUUCCUCUUGGUGUCUGUGAGAGGAUGCCAACUCCAGCCUCAGAUGGUCCAUUGGCCCGUCUCCUCCACUGGGACCUCAUGGACAUGCCUCACUCUUCAGCUUUAAGUCCCGUUACGUCUUACCCUGAAGGGACUCUCAUGUCAGCUAAAGGCCUGUUUGUCCCUGUGGACACUCAACCCCCCAGAGUCCACGCUGAGAUUUGUGGUUUUAAAAAACAAGACCUCACCACUAAAGACGGUCGCCUCUCCUGUCGUCCGAGGAGCAAACGCCGACCUGUGUCCAGUGGCACCAGCUGGCUCCCGUGGGCGGCAGGCGGACGGCUGGAGCUGACUGUUUCGCUGGGGCCCUGCACCCAUGCUCCUUAUGGAAGGGCGCCAUCCUGAUCCCGCUUGCAGGCUUAUUGCUACUGGGUGUCACCGGGACGGGCGAGUGCAGAUUUAUCGCAAUUUCCCUGCAGAUGGCAGCAACGUGUCUUAAGAGGUUGCACACGUUUUGUUCCGCUUUUACUCACCAAAGCCAACAACAGACCCACGUUCUCUAAAAGUAUUUCUGCUUGUGAACAAGAAACUGCUUUUCGAAUGGAUGUGCUGGAACAGUUGGCAUUGCUGAAAGACAUCAAUGGCCUUUCCAGCAGCCUCGAUCGGUAUUUCUCAAGUUUCCACGUGUGAACAGAGCACCUAGGGAUCUCAGGAAAACGCACACUCUGACUCAGCCAUUGUGAGGUGAGGUCUGAGAAGGUACCUUCCCCACAAGCUCCUGGUGGUGCCGGAUGCCGGGUCCUCGGAGGCUCACGGUUCCAGAGAGCUCAUUACCAUCAAAACGGGUAAAAAUGGUCCAUUGAUUGGGCUUUUUGAUGAAGAUGGCACCGAAAGCGAAGAAGGAAGCCCCUGCCCCUCUCAAAGCCGAAGCCAAAGCAAAGGCUUUGAAGGCAAAGAGAGCCGUGCUGAAAGGCGUCCACAGCCACACAAAAAAGAAGAUCCGCGUGUCAGCCACCUUCCGAGGCCGAAGACGAAGGCUCCGAAGGCAGCCAAAUAUCCCCGGAAGAGCACGCCCGAGAAACAAGCCUGCCCACUGUGCCAUCAUCACAUCCCCCCGACCACCGCGUCCACCGUGGCGAAGAGAGGACAAUCACACACGUGAGUUCCCUGUGGGUGUCAAGGCCAACGAGCACCAGAGCCAACAGGCUGUGAGGAAGCUCUGUGACGUCGAGGUGGCCAAGGUCAGCACCCUGGUCAGGCCUGAUGGCGAGAAGAGGGCAUAUGUUUGACUGGCUCCUGGCUAAGACGCUUUGGAUGUUGCCAACAAAAUGGGCACCAUCUAAACUGACCCAACUGGCUAAUUCUACAGAUAAAAAUUUACGCUGGAAAAAAAAAGUACAAUUGGAAUCGAAGAACGUUAUGCCUCCUUCAUCAAUGUAUAAAGAACUACAACCUAAAGUUGUCUUUGUACAAUCUAGUGUUCGCUCACCAAAAUGUUGCAAUAUGUCUAUGACAAUAAUGUACCAGAUCCAUUUUCAAACUAUUUUGAAACUUUCAAGGUACAAUUAAUCUGACCAAUACCUUGAUCAGUGAAGAAUGUGGCCUCUCAAAAUUAAAUAUGUUAAAACCAACGCAAAGUCCUCAAAACCAUAAGAAAGAUGACCAAUCUGGCGAUCCUUUCUACAACAUACGAGCUAUUAAAAAAAUAAAAAGUAAGCCUUAAAACUAUCAAAAGAAUUAUUUCUACCAAGAAAAGAUGUGUAUCUAUCUUACAACAAAUUAUUAGGCCCCCGUGACUUAAGUUCCUAAUAUUAUAAUUAAACAUUUGAAUUUUCCA